rnacentral:rRNA from 1 species
UUCCGGUUGAUCCUGCCGGACCUGACUGCUAUCGGAUUGAUACUAAGCCAUGCGAGUCUUUGUAGUAAUACAAGGCAGACGGCUCAGUAACGCGUAGUCAACCUACCCUAUGGACGGGAAUAAUCUCGGGAAACUGAGCAUAAUACCCGGCGUACCACCAUUCCUGGAAUGGUUGGUGGUUAAAAUGAUUCGUCGCCAUAGGAUGGGACUGCGGCCUAUCAGCUUGUUGGUGAGGUAAUGGCCCACCAAGGCGAUUACAGGUACGGGCUCUGAGAGGAGAAGCCCGGAGAUGGGUACUGAGACAAGGACCCAGGCCCUAUGGGGCGCAGCAGGCGAGAAAACUUUGCAAUGUGCGAAAGCACGACAAGGUUAAUCCGAGUGAUUUCUGCUAAAGGAAUCUUUUGUUAGUUCUAAAAAUACUAGUGAAUAAGGGGUGGGCAAGUUCUGGUGUCAGCCGCCGCGGUAAAACCAGCACCUCAAGUGGUCAGGAUGAUUAUUGGGCCUAAAGCAUCCGUAGCCGGCUUUGUUAGUUUUCGGUUAAAUCCAUGUGCUCAACACAUGGGCUGCCGAAAAUACUGCAUGGCUAGGGAGUGGGAGAGGUAGACGGUACUCGGUAGGAAGGGGUAAAAUCCUUUGAUCUAUCGAUGACCACCUGUGGCGAAGGCGGUCUACCAGAACACGUUCGACGGUGAGGGAUGAAAGCUGGGGGAGCAAACCGGAUUAGAUACCCGGGUAGUCCCAGCUGUAAACGAUGCAGACUCGAUGAUGCAUUGGCAUAUAGCCAGUGCAGUGUCGCAGGGAAGCCGUUAAGUCUGCCGCCUGGGAAGUACGUACGCAAGUAUGAAACUUAAAGGAAUUGGCGGGGGAGCACC